GAUGAACGCUGGCGGCGUGCCUAAUACAUGCAAGUCGAGCGGACAGACGCGAAGCUUGCUUGUCUGACGUUAGCCGCAGACGGGUGAGUCACGCGUGUAACACCUACCUAUCAGUGGGGGAUAACUUGGGGACACCGGCGCUUAUCCCGUAUGAUCUUUUGAACCACGUGGUUCAAAGGUAAAAGUCGGUGGUUGGGUUACUUAUAGAUGCAUCUGGGCUGCAUUAGCUGGUUGGUACGGUAAUGGGUUUCCAAGGCAACGAGGCAUAAGCGAACUGCGAGGGUGGUCGGCCGCACUGGAACUUAGCCACCGUCCAGAGUACUACGAGAGGCAGCAGUAGGCAAUCGGCCGCAGUGGUCGAAAGCCUGACGGAGCAAGGCCGAGUGAGUGAUGAAGGUCUUCGGAUCGUAAAGCUCUGUUAUUAGGGAAGAACAGAUGUGUAAGUAACUGUGCACAUCGUGACGGUACCGAAUCAGAAAGCACCGGCUAACUACGUG
rnacentral:rRNA from 1 species